rnacentral:rRNA from 1 species
CCUACGGGUGGCAGCAGUGGGGAAUAUUGGGCAAUGGAGGAAACUCUGACCCAGCAACGCCGCGUGAAUGAUGAAGGUCUUCGGAUUGUAACGUUCUUUUCUAAGGGAAGAAGAAAGUGACGGUACCUUAGGAAUAAGCCUCGGCUAACUACGUGCCAGCAGCCGCGGUAAUACGUAGGCGGCGAGCGUUAUCCGGAAUGACUGGGCGUAAAGGUUGCGUAGGUGGGUUGGAAAGUUAGUAGCGUAACUCCAAGGCUCAACCUUGGAACUACUACUAAUACUGUUGGGCUUGAGUGCAGGAGGGGCAGACGGAAUGCGUGGUGUAGCGGUGGAAUGCGUAGAUAUUAGGAGGAACACCAGUGGCGAAGGCGGGUUGCUAGACUGUAACUGACACUGAGGCACGAAAGCGUGGGGAGCAAACAGGAUUAGAUACCCUGGUAGUC